CUUAAAUUGUUGGGUUUUUUUUCCUAGUUGGGAAUUUCUCGCGCUCCUCAAAUUUCAGGGACAUAGCUGAAAAUGUUGAUCACAGCCAAUACCACACCAAUCUUCUGGGUUUCUCUCCCUAACCAUAAUAAUCCUAAAGAAAACCGUGUCAUGUCCCAAAAUGGUUUCAUUUUCUGUAAACCAUUUUCAACGACCACUCUAUCAUCUACAAAUUGGUAUGGUUCUUGUACUACAACCCGUGCCUCAGCCUCACUCACCAAAACCACCAUUCAUGAAGUUACAGACGUAGAUGCCAAAAUUUGUAAAUUCUAUGAAGCGGGUAACUUGAAAAACGCCAUGAAAUUGCUUAGUGUGUCUCAAAAAUCCGAGCUUGAGACCAAUACAUAUUGUUCAGUUUUGCAGCUCUGUGCUGAACUUAAAUCGCUAGAAGAUGGUAAAAAGGUUCACUCGAUGAUAUGUUCUAAUGGGUUAGUGGUUGAUGGAGUUUUGGGUUCAAAACUUGUAUUUAUGUAUGUGAAGUGUGGGGAUUUGAGAGAAGGGAGGCGGGUUUUCGAUAAGGUUGCUAAUGAAAAGGUCUUUCUUUGGAAUCUUAUGAUAAAUGAGUACUCAAAGAUUGGUGAUUUUGGGGAAAGUAUAUGUUUGUUCAUGAAGAUGCAGGAGUUGGGUAUUGAAGUGAAUUCUCAUACAUUUUCUAGUGUUUUAAAGUGCUUUGCGGCCUUAGGAAAUAUAGAAGUUGGCCAACAGGUUCAUGGGUAUUUGUUGAGAUUGGGUUUUGGUUGUUAUAACACAGUUGUGAAUUCUCUGAUUGCUUUCUACUUCAAGUGUGGAAGAGUUGAGAGUGCACAAAAGUUGUUCGAUGAAUUGGGUGAUCGAGAUGUUAUAUCUUGGAAUUCUAUGAUAAGUGGGUAUGCAUUGAAUGGUCUUGCAAAGAGGGGAAUUGAGUUUUUCAAAGAGAUGCUAUGUUUGGGUGUUGGCGUAGAUUUGGCAACAAUAGUGAAUGUUCUUGUGGCUUGUGCAAGUAUUGGAACUCUUUUGGUCGGUAGAGCAGUUCAUGCUUUUGCAAUAAAAUCUUGUUUUGAUGGAGAACUCAUGUUCAACAAUACUUUGCUGGACAUGUAUUCAAAAUGUGGUGAUUUGGAUGCUGCAACUCAAGUUUUUGAGAAGAUGGGCAAAAGAAGUGUAGUGUCGUGGACUUCAAUGAUGGCAGGUUUUGUCCGAGAAGGUUUAUCUGAUGGGGCAAUAAGAUUAUUCAGUGAAAUGGAAAGGAAAGGUGUUAGCCCUGAUCUUUUUACCAUCACAAGCGUCCUUCACGCUUGUGCUUGUAAUGGCUCUUUGGAGAGUGGCAGGGAUGUACACACUUAUAUACAGGAAAAGAAAAUGGACUCUAGUUUGUUUGUCUCUAAUGCUCUCAUGGAUAUGUAUGCAAAAUGUGGAAGCAUGGAAGAUGCUUACUCUAUUUUUUCUCAGAUGCAAGUAAAGGAUAUUAUCUCAUGGAAUACCAUGAUUGGGGGCUACUCAAAGAACUGUCUUCCCAAUGAAGCUCUUAAUUUGUUUGUUGAGAUGCAACGAGUAAUAAAACCCAACAGCAUAACAAUGGCCUGUAUCCUUCCAGCCUGUGCCAGCUUAGCAGCUCUAGAAAGAGGACGAGAGAUUCAUGGAUACGUUUUGAGAAAUGGAUUUUUUUCAGAUCAUUAUGUCAGUAAUGCACUUGUUGACAUGUAUGUGAAGUGUGGGGUGCUAGUUCUUGCACGUUUACUCUUUGACAUGACUCCUUCAAAGGAUCUUAUCUCAUGGACAGUAAUGAUUGCUGGAUAUGGCAUGCACGGGUUUGGAAGUGAAGCUAUUGCUACCUUUAAUGCAAUGAGAAAUGAAGGUGUUGAGCCUGAUGAAGUUACCUUCAUUUCUAUACUUUAUGCAUGCAGUCAUUCUGGAUUACUUUCUGAAGGAUGGAGGUUUUUUCAUAUAAUGAGAAAUGAAUGCAAUUUUGAGCCCAAGUUGGAGCAUUAUGCUUGUAUGGUGGAUCUUCUCGCUCGCGUUGGGAAGCUAUCGAAGGCAUAUAAAUUCAUUGAAACGAUGCCAAUAAAACCAGAUGCCACAAUUUGGGGUGCCUUGCUCUGUGGGUGCAGGAUCCACCAUGAUGUAAAACUAGCAGAGAAAGUCUCAGAACGUGUUUUUGAACUGGAGCCAGAGAACACAGGAUAUUAUGUACUUUUAGCGAAUAUCUAUGCUGAGGCAGAGAAGUGGGAAAAAGUUAAAAUUUUGCGGGAGAAGAUUGGUCGGCGAGGAUUGAAAAAGAACCCAGGGUGUAGCUGGAUAGAGAUCAGAGGCAAAGUUUAUGUAUUUGUGGCUGGUGAUAGUUCACACCCACAAACCAAGAAGAUAGAGUCACUAUUGAAGAGAUUAAGAAUGGAGAUGAGGGAAGAAGGUUACUUUCCUAAGACAAGAUAUGCUUUGAUUAAUGCAGAUGAUAUGGAGAAGGAAGUGGCUCUCUGUGGGCACAGUGAAAAGUUAGCCAUGGCUUUUGGAAUAUUGAGCCUGCCUUAUGGCAAAACCAUACGUGUGACCAAGAAUCUGAGAGUAUGUGGUGAUUGUCAUGAGAUGGCCAAGUUCAUGUCAAAGUCAGCUAGCAGGGAGAUUGUCUUGAGAGAUUCCAAUCGCUUUCACCAUUUCAAGGAUGGCAACUGUUCUUGCAGAGGUUUCUGGUGAAUCAAGGGUGAGUAGGGGUUUGAAUGUAAAGGAGUUAUUAUCUUAAAAGAGUUGCAAAUCAAGUUGAUUCUUAAGAAAUGAUUCAUAAGUUGUUGUAAAAUGGUUUGUUGACUGAGACAAACAUGCUUGGAUGAGGACUUAUGGUUAAGAUCUCUUAUACAUAUUGGGUCACUUAAACAAAGACAUAAUUCACAGUUCAAACAUUGUGAUUGCACUUCUACAUAGAGGCUCCCUAUAUGUCUCUUUACAGCCUGGAGGAGUUUAUGAAUCACGAUGUCUCGCGUGAAUGGAAUUUUCUUGAAGAAUCCUUCUUUUGAUGGCUUUGUAUAUGGUCAACAUGCAGGUUUUGUCUUGCAUUGGGUACCAUUACCAAAGCGAGGAUGAUCGAUCUCUCUGGAAGAAAGCGUUGAUUGUGUCCUUAGGAAUUCUUUUUCCCUGCUGGGGAGUUGAAAAAAAUUGAAUUCCCCAUCUUUAUAAUUGGAAGGAUGGGAAUUAUUAAAUGUGGAGCUGCAUAAAAGAUUUCCAAAGUAGUUACUACCAACUUUGGAGGAGUCCUGAAAAAUCUUCUAGGAUGUAGAAAAUGACGUUUUAACACUGAUAAAAGCACGAAACUUUCUGCAUAUGAUUUAUUAUCAUAGGAAGGCCCAUGUAAACAGUUCACUUGGAAUCAUUCUUGUAUUGUCUCUAAAGGCAUGUUUUAGUAAUUUGGCUUCCACUUGCUUCUUUUCUCACUUUUUUUACUGCUCUUGUCCAUCACAAGCCUUGGGAAACUGCUAAGCGUUGCAGGCCCACCAACGCAGACAGCAGACAGGUCAAUGUGAUGGGCCAGUCCUUGAAUAUGUACGAUAAGAUCUAAUAUUCCAGGGUUCAGACAAUUUUAUAUUGUAUGGUUAUAUUUUCAUUGUUUUAAUAUAGUAUAAGGUUUGGACCACUAUGACA